rnacentral:misc_RNA from 1 species
GAUGAAGAACGCAGCGAAAUGCGAUAAGUAGUGUGAAUUGCAGAAGUACCGUGAAUCAUCGAAUCUUUGAACGCAAAUUGCACUCUCUGGUAUUCCGGGGAGUAUGCCUGUUUGAGGGUCGCUUAACAAACCAUCGAUUUCGUUGCUUUUUUUUUAAAAAGUGAUGUUUAUCGGAUUUGAGCCGUCUUUUUUUUUAUAUUUAAGUGGCUUAAAAUUGAUUUUUUUGGUACGAUCGAAGCGUAUUUUUAUGAUCAAUUUUUGGUUAAAGAAACGCACACGUACCGUUAUUUAUAUGAUGUAAUACGUUUGACUAUUGGAUUUAGUUCAUUCGUAUACGAUAUUUUUCAAUAUUUGACCUCAAAUCAGGUAAGAACACCCGCUGAACUUAAGCAUAUCAAUAAGCGGAGGA